UGGGGAAUAUUGGGCAAUGGGCGCAAGCCUGACCCAGCAACGCCGCGUGGAGGAAGAAGGUUUUCGGAUUGUAAACUUCUGUCCUCAAGGACGAAAAAAAUGACGGUACUUGGGGAGGAAGCCCCGGCUAACUACGUGCCAGCAGCCGCGGUAAUACGUAGGGGGCAAGCGUUGUCCGGAAUUACUGGGCGUAAAGGGAGCGUAGGCGGUCUUUUAAGUUAGAUGUGAAAUACCCGGGCUCAACUUGGGAGGUGCAUCUAAAACUGGGAGACUUGAGUGCAGGAGAGGAAAGUGGAAUUCCUAGUGUAGCGGUGAAAUGCGUAGAUAUUAGGAGGAACACCAGUGGCGAAGGCGACUUUCUGGACUGUAACUGACGCUGAGGCUCGAAAGCGUGGGGAGC
rnacentral:rRNA from 1 species